UUCCGUUUUUCUUAUUUUUCGUUGCACCAAAUUCUCGUUCCCACAUCGUCUGAAAUACGAUGGUAAUUCGAGGGAGCAGAUUAGCCGUUAUCCGGGUAACACCUUACUGUGCUUUAACCUUAUCGUGGGGCCCACCUUGAUGACGCGUUAUAUAUCCAUGCCGUCCAUCCGUUUUUCCAGACAAUUUUAAUUUUAAUCCCAAAAAUUAAGAAGAUCCAAAUCUCAGGUGGACCACACCAUUGGAAACAGUGGUGAUUGAAUGACCCACCAUUAAAAUUUUCCUAGGGCUCAUCGCGAGGUUUUCGUAAUGUUUAUUUGCCAUCCAAUCUGUUGAUAAUGUUAACCACACCUCGACGAAGUAAAAACACAAAUAUCAGCUUGAUCCAAAACUUUCCCAGCCCCCAGAAAGUUUUUAAUGGUAAUUCACUACUGUUUCCAGUGAUGUGGUCCACCUGUGAUUUGGAUCGGCUUAAGUUUUGGUAUCGUGUACUAAAAUCAAAUGGAAAAACAGAUGGACAGCAUCAAUAUACAAAAAAUUCAUCGAGGUAGGCCCCCCAUGGACAUGGUAACACCCGCAGGCAACACCGAAUCUCCUCCCAUCAUUGAGGAGUGCGUGCCGAUACCAGGAGGAGGACUGUGACGGGCCAAAGUAGUCCAGCCCGAGCUCUGCUCGCUACAAUCAGGUUUUUCCUGUUUUCCUGAACUGUGAUUGGUCACAUGAUCACUGACGUUGUCAGCAAUGCUGCAUUAAAUGCAAUCUGUGAUGAUUUGGCCCAAUCACAUCGUAACAAACAGAUUUUUUCUGCCUGUGGCAAGCAAAGGAUGUGGAUUCGAGCUCUAAUAUCUGUGAAUGCAAAAAUCACGAAAAGAAAAUGAAAGCUAUGAUGUUGGAUUGGGAAAGUUGAAAAGCUUCGACUCUUUGAAAUGAAAUUGAAAGAGAGAGGAGGGUUUACCAGUAUUCUCAUGUCUGAAAUCCUGAUUUGAACGAGGGAAUAGAAAGACUUCUAUGAGAAUUCCAAAUUUGGAUUUUGAAUUUAGGAAGGAGAUUUUAUUUUUUUAAUUUUUUGCUUUACUGGGCUGGGACAGGCUGAUGGGCUUUUGAAUUCUUAAGUUCAAGUCCAGAUUGUUUGGGAAACGGGCUCAAAUUUUAAGCACGAAUCCAGUCCUCAGGACUUGAUAGUUUAGCCUAAUCCCGGCCCGAACAGGCUUGGCCCGGAAACCUGUCGGGCCAUCCAGGCCCAUUGACAGUCCUAGGAGUAAAUAAACUGUUUUUGUGUGCCACAAGCCGGGUCUACGUUGCAUUGAUCUAGUCCAUUCAUGCAGUAGACCCCACCAAUCUCCUCCCUUGGGACGAUCCCAGGGAAGAUCUAUAUUGUCAGGUUCAAUGUCGGAUUUUCUUGGUCUUCCACCACC